rnacentral:rRNA from 1 species
GACGAACGCUGGCGGCGUGCUUAACACAUGCAAGUCGAACGAAGCUUGAUUACGGAUUCUUCGGAUGAAGUAUGAUAUGACUGAGUGGCGGACGGGUGAGUAACGCGUGAGUAACCUGCCCUUCAGAGGGGGAUAGCGUUUGGAAACGAACGGUAAUACCGCAUAAUGUAUUUUGACCGCAUGAUCGAAAUACCAAAGAUUUAUCGCUGAAGGAUGGACUCGCGUCUGAUUAGGUAGUUGGUGGGGUAACGGCCUACCAAGCCGACGAUCAGUAGCCGGACUGAGAGGUUGAUCGGCCACAUUGGGACUGAGACACGGCCCAGACUCCUACGGGAGGCAGCAGUGGGGAAUAUUGCACAAUGGGCGCAAGCCGGAUGCAGCAACGCCGCGUGAAGGAAGACGGUUUUCGGAUUGUAAACUUCUGUUCUUAGUGAAGAAUAAUGACGGUAGCUAAGGAGCAAGCCACGGCUAACUACGUG